CGGGAGUACAUCAGCGGCGAACGGGUGAGUAACACGUGGGUGACUUGCCCCGAAGAUGGGGAUAACCUCUGGAAACGGGGGCUAAUACCCAAUGUGCUCGGUGAUUCGGUUCAUCGAGUAAAGCUCCGGCGCUUCGGGAGAGGCCUGCGGCCCAUCAGCUAGUUGGUAGGGUAACGGCCUACCAAGGCAGAGACGGGUAGGGGGCGUGAGAGCGCGGACCCCCACACUGGCACUGAGAUACGGGCCAGACUCCUACGGGAGGCAGCAGUAAGGGAUAUUGCGCAAUGGACGAAAGUCAAACGCAGCGACGCCGCGUGGGCGAUGAAGGCCUUCGGGUUGUAAAGCCCUUUUAUGGGGGAAGAGAAAAAGGACGGUACCCCAGGAAUAAGUCCCGGCUAACUACGUGCCAGCAGCCGCGGUAAAACGUAGGGGACAAGCGUUAUCCGGAUUCACUGGGCGUAAAGAGCGUUGAGGCGGUUCCGUAAGUUGGGCGUGAAAGCUCUCGGCUUAACUGGGAGAGGUCGUUCAAUACUGCGGUGCUUGAGGUUGGAAGAGGAGAGUGGAAUUCCCGGUGUAGUGGUGGAAUGCGUAGAUAUCGGGAGGAACAACCAGUGGCGAAGGCGGCUCUCUGGUCCACACCUGACGCUGAGGUGCGAAAAGCGUGGGGAGCGAACGGGAUUAGAUACCCCGGUAGUCCACGCCGUAAACGAUGGAUACU
rnacentral:rRNA from 1 species